UACGUAGGGGGCGAGCGUUGUCCGGAAUCACUGGGCUUAAAGCGUGUGUAGGCGGAUCGUUAAGUACCUUGUGAAAUCCCACGGCUCAACCGUGGAACGGCUGGGUAUACUGGCGGUCUUGGGCCAUUCAGGGGCGACUGGAACAAGCGGUGGAGCGGUGAAAUGCGUAGAUAUCGCUUGGAACGCCGAAGGUGAAAACAGGUCGCUGGGGAUGUGCCGACGCUGAGACACGAAAGCCAGGGGAGCAAACGGG
rnacentral:rRNA from 1 species